AUGCUGCUCGACUUCAAAUAUACAUCGACUCGUAUACAGUCUCUGAUGUAAACGAAGCUUUUGACCGAAAGAAAUUGCGAAUUUUUUACGUUAGCAAUCUACCAACUUGUAAAAGCGAGCUGUUGCAGCAAUUUUUGCGAUCAAAUUAUAUAUAUAAAAUUUGGAAUAGUGCUCAUCUAAAAAAUCCAACCUCAUAUCAACCCGGAUAAUAAUGGCAGGGUAUUGAAAGAUGACAAAUACCAAGUUAUGUAGGAGAUUCGCUCAAAACUCAAUCAGAAACUGAUGGAUAAGGUAUUGGAUAUUGGUGACAAUAGACUAGAGUAACUGUAGUAGCGACGAUGAAGAUAACGAAAAUAUCGACGACAAUGAGGAAAAUUAUAAGAACGAUUAAAUAUUUUUCUUUGACAUGUAAUAA